UACGAAGGGGGCUAGCGUUGCUCGGAAUUACUGGGCGUAAAGGGAGCGUAGGCGGACAGUUUAGUCAGAGGUGAAAGCCCAGGGCUCAACCUUGGAAUUGCCUUGAUACUGACUGUCUUGAGUACGGGAGAGGUGUGUGGAACUCCGAGUGUAGAGGUGAAAUUCGUAGAUAUUCGGAAGAACACCAGUGGCGAAGGCGACACACUGGCCCGUUACUGACGCUGAGGCUCGAAAGCGUGGGGAGCAAACAGG
rnacentral:rRNA from 1 species